rnacentral:rRNA from 1 species
UCCUAGCUGUAAACGAUCUGUACUAGUCCGUGGAGCCUCCCACAGUUUCUCGGACGUAGCGAAAGUGUUAAGUACAGCGCCUGGGGAGUAUGGUCGCAAGGCUGAAACUCAAAGGAAUUGACGGGGGCUCACACAAGCGGUGGAGGAUGUGGCUUAAUUCGAGGAUACGCGAAGAACCUUACCUAGGCUUAACAUGCUUGAGAACGUCUGUGAAAGCAGAAAGUGCCCUUCGGGGAACUCUUGCGUAGGUGCUGCACGGCUGUCGUCAGCUCGUGUCGUGAGAUGUCGGGUUAAGUCCC